AAGUCGUAACAAGGUUUCCGUAGGUGAACCUGCGGAAGGAUCAUUAACACGUAUCCACGUAUCAACCAACUGUGAACUUGUUUUCAUUCUCCCUGGCUUAUUACAUGAAUUGAAUAGAUUAAGAUAAUGAAAUGGGAACUUCGGUUCAGUCUUAAUCUAUAGCUUGUUACCUUUCGGGGUAGCAGACGAUUGUAGUAAUUCCUAGUCAGGCAAACUCUUCUACUAAUAGAAUUCUCCUUUCAUGAAUUCUGCUAGUGGGAACACACUAACACAAACCUAUAUCACACCCUUUUUUGCUAGUUGACUUUUAUAUGUUGUUUCUUUCGUACUUCAUUGUAUUGAAGAAUCACACGUUUAUUAUUUGAACGUUAAAAUUACAACUCUUAGCAAUGGAUAUCUUGGUUCUC
rnacentral:misc_RNA from 1 species